GGGGGGCAAACCAGGAUUAGAUUCCCUUGGUAGUUCCCACCGUAAACGAUGUCUACUUGGAGGUUGUGGCCUUGAGCCGUGGCUUUUGGAGCUAACGCGUUAAGUAGACCGCCUGGGGAGUACGGUCGCAAGAUUAAAACUCAAAUGAAUUGACGGGGGCCCGCACAAGCGGUGGAGCAUGUGGUUUAAUUCGAUGCAACGCGAAGAACCUUACCUACUCUUGACAUCUACAGAAGCCAGCGGAGACGCAGGUGUGCCUUCGGGAACUGUAAGACAGGUGCUGCAUGGCUGUCGUCAGCUCGUGUUGUGAAAUGUUGGGUUAAGUCCCGCAACGAGCGCAACCCUUAUCCUUGUUUGCCAGCACUUCGGGUGGGAACUCCAGGGAGACUGCCGGUGAUAAACCGGAGGAAGGUGGGGACGACGUCAAGUCAUCAUGGCCCUUACGAGUAGGGCUACACACGUGCUACAAUGGCGCAUACAGAGGGCGGCCAACUUGCGAAAGUGAGCGAAUCCCAAAAAGUGCGUCGUAGUCCGGAUUGGAGUCUGCAACUCGACUCCAUGAAGUCGGAAUCGCUAGUAAUCGUGGAUCAGGAUGCCACGGUGAAUACGUUCCCGGGCCUUGUACACACCGCCCGUCACACCAUGGGAGUGGGCUGCAAAAGAAGUGGGUAGUUUAACCUUCGGGAGGACGCUCACCACUUUGUGGUUCAUGACUGGGGGGAAGUCGUAACAAGGUAACCG
rnacentral:rRNA from 1 species